rnacentral:rRNA from 1 species
GACGAACGCUGGCGGCGUGCUUAACACAUGCAAGUCGAACGGAAAGGCCCUGCUUUUGUGGGGUUCUCGAGUGGCGAACGGGUGAGUAACACGUGAGUAACCUGCCCUUGACUUUGGGAUAACUUCAGGAAACUGGGGCUAAUACCGGAUAGGAGCUCCUGCUGCAUGGUGGGGGUUGGAAAGUUUCGGCGGUUGGGGAUGGACUCGCGGCUUAUCAGCUUGUUGGUGGGGUAGUGGCUUACCAAGGCUUUGACGGGUAGCCGGCCUGAGAGGGUGGCCGGGCACAUGGGUACUGAGAGACGGACCAGACGCCAACGGGAGGCAGCAGUGGGGAAUAUUGCGCAAUGGGCGGAAGCCUGAGGCAGCAACGCCGCGUGCGGGAUGACGGCCUUGGGGUGGUAAACCGAGUACGCUUGUGACGAAGCGUGAUUGACGGUAACGGCUAAAGAAGCACCGGCUAACUACGUG